rnacentral:SRP_RNA from 1 species
GGGCUUGAUUCCUAAAGUGGGGUGGACUGCGUGAGGCUGGUUUCACAGAGCAACGAAUAGCUCCCGCUC